rnacentral:rRNA from 1 species
AGUGGCAGACGGGUGAGUAACAUGUAGGUAUCUACCCUUUGGCCUGGAAUAACACGAGGAAACUUGCGCUAAUACUGGAUAAGUCUUUACGGAGAAAGCUUUAUGCACCAUUGGAUGAGCCUGCACUUGAUUAGUUUGUUGGUGGGGUAAUGGCCUACCAAGACUGUGAUCAAUAGCUGAUUUGAGAGGAUGAUCAGCCACAUUGGGGCUGAGACACGGCCCAAACUCCUACGGGAGGCAGCAGUGGGGAAUCUUGCACAAUGGAGGAAACUCUGAUGCAGCGAUGCCGCGUGAGUGAAGAAGGCCCUUGGGUUGUAAAGCUCUUUCGUCGGGGAAGAAAAUGACUGUACCCGAAUAAGAAGGUCCGGCUAACUUCGUGCCAGCAGCCGCGGUAAUACGAAGGGACCUAGCGUAGUUCGGAAUUACUGGGCUUAAAGAGUUCGUAGGUGGUUGAAAAAGUUAGUGGUGAAAUCCCAGAGCUUAACUCUGGAACUGCCAUUAAAACUUUUCAGCUAGAGUAUGAUAGAGGAAAGCAGAAUUUCUAGUGUAGAGGUGAAAUUCGUAGAUAUUAGAAAGAAUACCAAUUGCGAAGGCAGCUUUCUGGAUCAUAACUGACACUGAAGAACGAAAGCAUGGGUAGCGA